GUGCCAGCAGCCGCGGUAAUACAGAGGGUGCGAACGUUGCUCGGAAUUACUGGGCGUAAAGCGCGUGUAGGCGGGUCGGCAAGUCAGGCGUGAAAUCCCCAGGCUCAACCUGGGAACUGCGCUUGAAACUGCCGGUCUUGAGUAUCGGAGAGGGUGGCGGAAUUCCUGGUGUAGAGGUGAAAUUCGUAGAUAUCAGGAGGAACACCGGUGGCGAAGGCGGCCACCUGGACGAUUACUGACGCUGAGACGCGAAAGCGUGGGGAGCAAACAGGAUUAGAUACCCCGGUAGUCC
rnacentral:rRNA from 1 species